AGAUCGUGCUGCGCUGGAGGAGCUGGUGCGACUCCAGGGAGCGCAUGUGAGGGGCCUUAAGGAGCAGAAAGCGUCCGCUGAGCAGAUCGAGGAGGAGGUGACGAAACUCCUAAAACUGAAGGCACAGCUGGGCCAUGAUGAAGGCAAACAGAAGUUCGUCCUCAAAACCCCCAAGGGCACGAGAGACUAUAGUCCCCGGCAGAUGGCAGUCCGAGAAAAGGUGUUUGAUGUCAUCAUCCGCUGUUUCAAACGCCAUGGAGCAGAAGUGAUCGAUACACCUGUGUUUGAACUAAAGG
rnacentral:lncRNA from 1 species